UCCUCUCUUUAUCUCCACCCUUCCUGAAGCUUGAUUCAACUGAGCAGCAGGUGUCCCAGCGGAGGCAGUGUGACCUGUGUGGCACAGACUGGUGUGUGUGUCUGUACUGCUGGCACCAGCACGCCCUGCUCCUGUCCUGACGCUGCUGUUAAAGGCAGAGAAUUUCCCUGAGUUUUGUCAGUGCUCCUGGCAGUUGUUGCUGAGGAACCUCGGGGCAUCCCUCACCGUACAGCUCGUCCAGAGCACUGCCAGUGCUGGAAGAGGACGGGGCAGGCAGAGCUUCUCUCUGCACUGCAUCUCCUCAGGGGCUCAGCCGAGACUUUGAAAAGCCUCCCUCCUCUUGGAAGCGCCAGGGCAAGCCUUGAGGGGAGUGGGGACAGUGUGGAGGUGGUGUGGAGGGGCUGACACCCAGGCAGGGUCUGAGCAGAGCCCCCGGCCUUCUCCUCCCCACAGGGCCGGGCAGCCUCUGCCUCAGGAGAAGGCACGGCCUGGUUCAGAGCCCCGAGAGCCUCUGCUGCCAUUUCCCCCAAGGCUGGCAGCUAAACAGCGUGUUUCAAGAAUGUGCUGUGCACUCCUGGAACUUCUAUCCUGAAUGCUGCUUCUGCACGAUAACUUCAUUACCUCAUGCCAUCUUCAGUGUCUGGCUCUUGAGCUUGGAGACAUGAGUAUGAUUCUGCCAAGAAACAAAUCCAACAGCCAUGGAAACAGCCUGACCACAGCCAAGGCAUCCCUGAGCUGCUCCUUAGGAAGGAUCAAAGCAUGAGUGAGUUCAAUCAUCCUCAAUCUGUGACCUGGGUAUGUUUUAGUGGAACAGCUCCUGGCUGAACACAAAACUAACUCUGAAGGAUCCAAGGAUCCACAAGGAUAACAGAAGACACACUUGGCAUGUGAUUUCCCUUUCAGUGAGACCAGGGCUGAAGUGAUUGACAUUAACUUAUUGCUCUCCAGAAAGGUGUCUUAAUUAAAUUUACACUGAAAAUUUUACAAAAGAAAAAAAAAAAAAUAGGAGCAGAGAAUGGUUUGAAUUUUGUUUCAUCUUUGUCAUCACUCUUCUUCUUUCCAUGUGUUUACUUAUGACUAUUCUUUUCUUUCUGGAAUUUCUCCCAAAUUCACUUUAGCCUAUGAAAUUUGUCAACAUUUACUCAAAGGGGUGAUGCAGCUUUACUGGGAGGAAGGGAAGCGCCAGGGUUGUUUGCAAGGUUGUUUUUGAACCAACCAGCCUUCUGUUUCUGUAAUGAAAAAA